GCCUCUGUAGUUCAAUGGAUAGAACACCGGACUUCUAAGCCGGUUAUGUGGGUUCGAUUCCCCCCAGAGGCACAA
rnacentral:tRNA from 1 species